rnacentral:rRNA from 1 species
UACGUAGGUGGCGAGCGCUGUCCGGAUUUACUGGGCGUAAAGGGCUUGUAGGCGGUCCGUUAAGUCCGAUGUGAAAUCUCCCGGCUCAACUGGGAGAGGUCAUUGGAUACUGUCGGACUAGAGGGGGGUAGAGGAAAGCAGAAUUCCUGGUGUAGCGGUGAAAUGCGUAGAUAUCAGGAGGAAUACCAGUGGCGAAGGCGGCUUUCUGGGCCUACCCUGACGCUGAGGAGCGAAAGCGUGGGGAGCAAACCGG